rnacentral:rRNA from 1 species
GAUGAACGCUGGCGGCGUGCCUAAUACAUGCAAGUCGAGCGAACGGACGAGAAGCUUGCUUCUCUGAUGUUAGCGGCGGACGGGUGAGUAACACGUGGAUAACCUACCUAUAAGACUGGGAUAACUUCGGGAAACCGGAGCUAAUACCGGAUGAUAUUUUGAACCGCAUGGUUCAAAAGUGAAAGACGGUCUUGCUGUCACUUAUAGAUGGAUCCGCGCUGCAUUAGCUAGUUGGUAAGGUAACGGCUUACCAAGGCAACGAUGCAUAGCCGACCUGAUAGGGUGAUCGGCCACACUGGAACUGAGACACGGUCCAGACUCCUACGGGAGGCAGCAGUAGGGAAUCUUCCGCAAUGGGCGGAAGCCUGACGGAGCAACGCCGCGUGAGUGAUGAAGGUCUUCGGAUCGUAAAACUCUGUUAUUAGGGAAGAACAUAUGUGUAAGUAACUGUGCACAUCUUGACGGUACCUAAUCAGAAAGCCACGGCUAACUACGUG